GUUUCUUUGGAAAUAUCUGAUAAAAUUGAAACGAUACAGAAAAAAUUAACAUGGCCCUUGCGCAAGGAUGACACACAAAUCAAGAAAUAGUCCAAAUUUUA
rnacentral:snRNA from 1 species